rnacentral:rRNA from 1 species
GAUGAACGCUGGCGGCGUGCCUAAUACAUGCAAGUCGAGCGAAUGGAUUGAGAGCUUGCUCUUAUGAAGUUAGCGGCGGACGGGUGAGUAACACGUGGGUAACCUGCCCAUAAGACUGGGAUAACUCCGGGAAACCGGGGCUAAUACCGGAUAACAUUUUGAACCGCAUGGUUCGAAAUUGAAAGGCGGCUUCGGCUGUCACUUAUGGAUGGAUCCGCGUCGCAUUAGCUAGUUGGUGAGGUAACGGCUCACCAAGGCAACGAUGCGUAGCCGACCGACGAGGGUGAUUGGCCACACUGUGACUGAGACACGGCCCAGACUCCUACGGGAGACAGCAGUAGGGAAUCUUCCGAAAUGGACGAAAGUCUGACGGAGCAACGCCGCGUGAGUGAGGAAGGCUUUCGGGUCGUAAAACUCUGUUGUUAGGGAAGAACAAGUGCUAGUUGAAUAAGCUGGCACCGUGACGGUACCUAACCAGAAAGCCACGGCUAACUACGUGCCAGCCGCCGCGGUAA